CCUCCUCGGACCCACCCCCCCAGCCCUGUGUUCACUGGGGGAAAACCCACUGCCCAACGUGGUAGAGCUGGAACUGGGUGCCUGAACCGGCUGGGUAUUUGGUCGAUGAAGUUUUGCCCUUAAAGGGAUGCCGUACUUUCGGUGGAGCAUAAUGGGAGCUAUAAAGCCAGAAAGGAGGCCUGAGGCUGGACCAUCAUGAAGGAAGGAGUGUAUAAUAAGAAGACCUUAUGGGACUUAAAAUUUUCAGCUUCCAGACUGUUGAGAUCUUUAUGGAUUGGAAUUCACUGAGCUUCAUUCUCAGCAUUGAUGCAGAGGGCAGGUGAGAAAGAAGAAAAAAGCAUCUCUGUCUUGAUUCAAACUAAACACUUCUCUGAAAUAUUUACAAAGCAGUGUGCGUCACGUGAGGCCUGGGCCAAAGGACCCUCUGACUUUCUGUGUAAGAGGCCCCUUACACAUGGUGGACACCUGAUAAAUAUUCACUGAAGCCUUGGAACAUUGGUUUGAGCACUGGCCUCAAUUUUUGGAUGAGAGUUGCCCCCAUCAACUGGG